CAGUGAAAAGUGAAAUCGUGCGAAGGAGAAUAAUUGUAGCGCUCUCCUCGUUUCACAUCGGUGUUGAUCGUGGUGAUGCCGGUCGACAUCGAUUGCUAUUAUUUACAUAUUGUUUCCCCGUCAGUGGUCAGUGGCACACAUCCCGAUAAAGGUUGGCUCGAGGUUUCCGGUAGGUCAUCCGCCAGUUAAUUGACUCUACGCAACGGCCAAAUAACUCCGCUACGGUUGUACAAUCCGUUCCGGCUGUUGGGAGCUCGACAAAAAAUCUGAUGGACAAGGCAAACACCCUUCCUCAAGGGGUCGAUUUGGAAGUGAUAGAAAAGCAAUCGAGUCCAUUGUCUGUUGAACUUCCGCCGAGUGGAGUUCAACGUUAAUUUGAUGAAAUAUCAAAGGAUAUAACGUGUUCUCGUCUUGGAAACAGAACAGUGACGAUAACAAAAAAGAAGCACUCGAGAGCUGAACCGCCCCCUAACCCAGCAGCAGACGUAGACGUGAUCACACUAUCUACUCGCAGUACAUCGUAACGAGUACACGAUGUUGGAGGAGAACUGAUCGAACGUAAUCGAUGACCAGGUGGACACCCAACCGGUACGAAAGUUCGAUUCCAGCCAGCGUUGAACGGAUAUGGAGGACGAUUUCCGAAUAUGUGAGCAGAAUUUGGCCGACAUGAGCAUCAUUAAUUGGGAGGAAAGCGUGACUGGAGUGCGGCCCCUGGUUCCCGCAUCGGCCAAGGUUCAGCUGGGUAGUAUUUUUGGUAAACUGGAUGGAAUGGACGGACGAGUGACAGAGGAGUGUCAAAAGCGGGUGGCGAGGAUAAACCAAUUAAAUACAUUUAUGUAAAUAAAAC